UACGGAGGAGGCAAGCGUUAUCCGGAAUUAUUGGGCGUAAAGCGUCCGCAGGUGGCACUUCAAGUCUGUCGUCAAAGACCGGGGCUUAACCCUGGAAAGGCGAUGGAAACUGAAAGGCUAGAGAGAGGUAGGGGUAGAGGGAAUUCCCAGUGUAGCGGUGAAAUGCGUAGAGAUCAGGAAGAACACCGGUGGCGAAAGCGCUCUGCUGGACCUUAACUGACACUGAGGGACGAAAGCUAGGGGAGCGAAUGGG
rnacentral:rRNA from 1 species